rnacentral:rRNA from 1 species
GAUGAACGCUGGCGGCGUGCUUAACACAUGCAAGUCGAACGGAAAGGCCCAAGCUUGCUUGGGUACUCGAGUGGCGAACGGGUGAGUAACACGUGGGUGAUCUGCCCUGCACUUCGGGAUAAGCCUGGGAAACUGGGUCUAAUACCGGAUAGGACGAUGGUUUGGAUGCCAUUGUGGAAAGUUUUUUCGGUGUGGGAUGAGCUCGCGGCCUAUCAGCUUGUUGGUGGGGUAAUGGCCUACCAAGGCGUCGACGGGUAGCCGGCCUGAGAGGGUGUACGGCCACAUUGGAACUGAGAGACGGCCCAGACUCCUACGGGAGGCAGCAGUGGGGAAUAUUGCACAAUGGGCGCAAGCCUGAGGCAGCGACGCCGCGUGGGGGAUGACGGCCUUCGGGUGGUAAACACCUUUCGCUAGGGACGAAGCGUUUUUGUGACGGUACCUGGAGAAGAAGCACCGGCUAACUACGUG